rnacentral:rRNA from 1 species
UACGUAGGGUGCGAGCGUUGUCCGGAAUUAUUGGGCGUAAAGAGCUUGUAGGUGGCUCGUUGCGUCGGGAGUGAAAACCUGCGGCUUAACCGCAGGCCUGCUUCCGAUACGGGCGAGCUAGAGUUCGGCAGGGGAGACUGGAAUUCUUGGUGUAGCGGUGGAAUGCGCAGAUAUCAGGAGGAACACCGGUGGCGAAGGCGGGUCUCUGGGCCGAUACUGACACUGAGAAGCGAAAGCGUGGGGAGCGAACAGG